UCCGUGUGCGUCGUUUGCAUCUUGUAUCGUGUUUUUGUGUAUAAUAUUUUGCUUAUAAUUAUGGAAUGGACAGACGACGAUUGUAUACAACUUAUAAACUUGUAUAAAUCAAGACCGAUCCUUUGGAAUCCUGAACAUCCCUAUUACAAAAUGGGCAAGAGAAAAAUUGACUUUUGGUUAGAAAUAUCCAAUGAAUUAAAACGAGACGUGAACGAAACCAAGAAAAAAAUGGAAAGCCUACUAGGAUCUUUCCGAAGGGAAAGACAACGAGAGGCCAAUAGCGGACGUUCGGCAACAGGAACUGACCAAAGUUAUUGUUCAAAAUGGUUUGCAUUUGAAGAAAUGAAGUUUUUGAAUGGUAAAUUCAAACCUCGAGUUAACAAAGACACCAUUGAAUCGGUUAGCACUGAAGAAACACAAAAUUUAGAUGUGGAAAUUAUUGAGAAAGUCGACAUAGUGCAACCUCAAAAAAACAAAGUAUUUGUAUUCCCCAAAAGGACAACAAGGAUAAAAAGAAAAAAAGUAGAAGAGGAUUCUAGAGUAACAGAAAUUUAUAAAUUAAUAAAAUACAUUUCUGAUAAAAAACAAAUACCGAAAGUAAAGAAUGACUGCACGAUUUUUGGUAAUUAUGUCGCUAGUAAAUUGCAAUUAUUUGAUCGACGUACAAGAACUGUUCUUCAGCAUCAAAUAAGUAGUCUUAUAUGUAAUACGGAACUUAAUUAUACUUUUAAUAAUUAUAUUAAUCAAGUUUUUAAACAAACUGAGUCUUCGACCAAUCCAAUGUCAUUUUCGUCUUCAGUUUCAUCACCAGCUGCACUAUCCAUUAAUUCAAUGUCUCCCAUUCCACCACAGUCACCAGUAUCAUACACUUCCACAAUGCAUUUGCCUUCUUAAAAAGACAUAUCUAAUUUUCCAUCUCCAUACGUAAUUCAGCAUCCGACAACGCUAAACCAAAAACAAUAAUGGCAGGACUUUAAUACUGGUUCGAAUAUGAACAUUGAUAAAUUUAACUACCAAUGUUCUUUUACAAAAUGUGUU